GACGAACGCUGGCGGCGUGCUUAACACAUGCAAGUCGAACGGAAAGGCCCUGCUUUUGUGGGGUGCUCGAGUGGCGAACGGGUGAGUAACACGUGAGUAACCUGCCCUUGACUUUGGGAUAACUUCAGGAAACUGGGGCUAAUACCGGAUAGGAGCUCCUGCUGCAUGGUGGGGGUUGGAAAGUUUCGGCGGUUGGGGAUGGACUCGCGGCUUAUCAGCUUGUUGGUGGGGUAGUGGCUUACCAAGGCUUUGACGGGUAGCCGGCCUGAGAGGGUGACCGGCCACAUUGGGACUGAGAUACGGCCCAGACUCCUACGGGAGGCAGCAGUGGGGAAUAUUGCACAAUGGGCGGAAGCCUGAUGCAGCAACGCCGCGUGCGGGAUGACGGCCUUCGGGUUGUAAACCGCUUUCGCCUGUGACGAAGCGUGAGUGACGGUAAUGGGUAAAGAAGCACCGGCUAACUACGUGCCAGCAGCCGCGGUGAUACGUAGGGUGCGAGCGUUGUCCGGAUUUAUUGGGCGUAAAGGGCUCGUAGGUGGUUGAUCGCGUCGGAAGUGUAAUCUUGGGGCUUAACCCUGAGCGUGCUUUCGAUACGGGUUGACUUGAGGAAGGUAGGGGAGAAUGGAAUUCCCUGGUGGAGCGGUGGAAUGCGCAGAUAUCAGGAGGAACACCAGUGGCGAAGGCGGUUCUCUGGGCCUUUCCUGACGCUGAGGAGCGAAAGCGUGGGGAGCGAACAGGCUUAGAUACCCUGGUAGUCCACGCUGUAAACGGUGGGUACUAGGUGUGGGGUCCAUUCCACGGGUCCCGUGCCGUAGCUAACGCUUUAAGUACCCCGCCUGGGGAGUACGGCCGCAAGGCUAAAACUCAAAGGAAUUGACGGGGCCCCGCACAAGCGGCGGAGCAUGCGGAUUAAUUCGAUGCAACGCGUAGAACCUUACCUGGGUUUGACAUGGAUCGGGAGCGCUCAGAGAUGGGUGUGCCUCUUUUGGGGUCGGUUCACAGGUGGUGCAUGGCUGUCGUCAGCUCGUGUCGUGAGAUGUUGGGUUAAGUCCCGCAACGAGCGCAACCCUUGUUCACUGUUGCCAGCACGUUAUGGUGGGGACUCAGUGGAGACCGCCGGGGUCAACUCGGAGGAAGGUGGGGAUGACGUCAAGUCAUCAUGCCCCUUAUGUCCAGGGCUUCACGCAUGCUACAAUGGCCGGUACAGAGAGUGGCGAGCCUGUGAGGGUGAGCGAAUCUCGGAAAGCCGGUCUCAGUUCGGAUUGGGGUCUGCAACUCGACCUCAUGAAGUCGGAGUCGCUAGUAAUCGCAGAUCAGCAACGCUGCGGUGAAUACGUUCCCGGGGCU
rnacentral:rRNA from 1 species